GGUCAAGUGAAGAAGCGCAUACGGUGGAUGCCUUGGCAGUCAGAGGCGAUGAAAGACGUGGUAGCCUGCGAAAAGCUUCGGGGAGUCGGCAAACAGACUUUGAUCCGGAGAUCUCUGAAUGGGGGAACCCACCUAGGAUAACCUAGGUAUCUUGUACUGAAUCCAUAGGUGCAAGAGGCGAACCAGGGGAACUGAAACAUCUAAGUACCCUGAGGAAAAGAAAUCAACCGAGAUUCCCUUAGUAGUGGCGAGCGAACGGGGAUUAGCCCUUAAGCUUCAUUGAUUUUAGCGGAACGCUCUGGAAAGUGCGGCCAUAGUGGGUGAUAGCCCCGUACGCGAAAGGAUCUUUGAAGUGAAAUCGAGUAGGACGGAGCACGAGAAACUUUGUCUGAACAUGGGGGGACCAUCCUCCAAGGCUAAAUACUACUGACUGACCGAUAGUGAACCAGUACCGUGAGGGAAAGGCGAAAAGAACCCCGGAGAGGGGAGUGAAAUAGAACCUGAAACCGUAUGCGUACAAGCAGUGGGAGCCUACUUGUUAGGUGACUGCGUACCUUUUGUAUAAUGGGUCAGCGACUUAUAUUCAGUGGCAAGCUUAACCGUAUAGGGUAGGCGUAGCGAAAGCGAGUCUUAAUAGGGCGUUUAGUCGCUGGGUAUAGACCCGAAACCGGGCGAUCUAUCCAUGAGCAGGUUGAAGGUUAGGUAACACUGACUGGAGGACCGAACCCACUCCCGUUGAAAAGGUAGGGGAUGACUUGUGGAUCGGAGUGAAAGGCUAAUCAAGCUCGGAGAUAGCUGGUUCUCCUCGAAAGCUAUUUAGGUAGCGCCUCAUGUAUCACUCUGGGGGGUAGAGCACUGUUUCGGCUAGGGGGUCAUCCCGACUUACCAAACCGAUGCAAACUCCGAAUACCCAGAAGUGCCGAGCAUGGGAGACACACGGCGGGUGCUAACGUCCGUCGUGAAAAGGGAAACAACCCAGACCGCCAGCUAAGGUCCCAAAGUUGUGGUUAAGUGGUAAACGAUGUGGGAAGGCUUAGACAGCUAGGAGGUUGGCUUAGAAGCAGCCAUCCUUUAAAGAAAGCGUAAUAGCUCACUAGUCGAGUCGGCCUGCGCGGAAGAUGUAACGGGGCUCAAACCACACACCGAAGCUGCGGGUGUCACGCAAGUGACGCGGUAGAGGAGCGUUCUGUAAGCCUGUGAAGGUGAGUUGAGAAGCUUGCUGGAGGUAUCAGAAGUGCGAAUGCUGACAUGAGUAACGACAAUGGGUGUGAAAAACACCCACGCCGAAAGACCAAGGGUUCCUGCGCAACGUUAAUCGACGCAGGGUUAGUCGGUUCCUAAGGCGAGGCUGAAAAGCGUAGUCGAUGGGAAACAGGUUAAUAUUCCUGUACUUCUGGUUACUGCGAUGGAGGGACGGAGAAGGCUAGGCCAGCUUGGCGUUGGUUGUCCAAGUUUAAGGUGGUAGGCUGAAAUCUUAGGUAAAUCCGGGGUUUCAAGGCCGAGAGCUGAUGACGAGUCGUCUUUUAGAUGACGAAGUGGUUGAUGCCAUGCUUCCAAGAAAAGCUUCUAAGCUUCAGGUAACCAGGAACCGUACCCCAAACCGACACAGGUGGUCGGGUAGAGAAUACCAAGGCGCUUGAGAGAACUCGGGUGAAGGAACUAGGCAAAAUGGCACCGUAACUUCGGGAGAAGGUGCGCCGGCUAGGGUGAAGGAUUUACUCCGUAAGCUCUGGCUGGUCGAAGAUACCAGGCCGCUGCGACUGUUUAUUAAAAACACAGCACUCUGCAAACACGAAAGUGGACGUAUAGGGUGUGACGCCUGCCCGGUGCCGGAAGGUUAAUUGAUGGGGUUAGCGCAAGCGAAGCUCUUGAUCGAAGCCCCGGUAAACGGCGGCCGUAACUAUAACGGUCCUAAGGUAGCGAAAUUCCUUGUCGGGUAAGUUCCGACCUGCACGAAUGGCGUAACGAUGGCGGCGCUGUCUCCACCCGAGACUCAGUGAAAUUGAAAUCGCUGUGAAGAUGCAGUGUAUCCGCGGCUAGACGGAAAGACCCCGUGAACCUUUACUGUAGCUUUGCACUGGACUUUGAGCCUGCUUGUGUAGGAUAGGUGGGAGGCUUUGAAGCGUGGACGCCAGUUCGCGUGGAGCCAUCCUUGAAAUACCACCCUGGCAUGCUU
rnacentral:rRNA from 1 species